CCCCUCGGCCGUCAGUCCCGCCCGGCCCCGCGCCGGGCCUCGGCUCUCAGAGAGGUGCCCUCCCUUCUUCCCUCCCUCCCUUCCCGCCGGGCUCCUCCUCCUCCCGCUCCGGCUCGCUCGCGCUCCGGCGCCGGCUCCGGCUCCUCCCGGCCGCCCGGGGCCAAGGCGACGUGAGGUUGUAAAAAUCCAUGUGGGACGGCCCCGGGGCGAGCAUCGGAAAGAUCUCUGAUUGGAGUCACUUCCCGGUUGAGUAUGAAAAGAAUGCAGUGAAAAUUCUGGCCAGCAGUGGAAAUAUUGGCUUAUUCUCCAACUUAGUAUAGUAUUUCUUAUCUUAAGUAGCACCUCGUAAUAAAAGAAAAAUGUAUGGAAGUGCAAGAACAAUCACCAAUCUGGAAGGGAGCCCUUCCAGAUCUCCUCGUUUGCCAAGAUCUCCUCGUUUGGGCCAUCGAAGAACAAGUAGUGGGGGAGGUGGGGGCACGGGCAAGACUCUGUCCAUGGAGAAUAUUCAGUCUCUUAAUGCAGCCUAUGCUACAUCUGGGCCCAUGUAUCUGAGUGAUCAUGAGGGAGUGGCUUCGACAACUUACCCAAAGGGCACCAUGACUCUGGGGAGGGCCACAAAUAGAGCUGUAUAUGGAGGCCGAGUCACAGCCAUGGGGAGUAGUCCCAAUAUUGCUUCUGCUGGACUUUCCCACACAGAUGUCCUUUCUUACACAGAUCAACAUGGUGGUCUGACCAGCUCAUCCCAUCAUCACCACCAUCAAGUCCCCUCCAUGUUGAGGCAGGUUAGGGAUAGCACAAUGUUAGACCUUCAAGCCCAGCUCAAGGAACUUCAGAGAGAAAAUGACCUCCUUCGGAAAGAGCUAGACAUCAAGGACAGCAAACUGGGAUCUUCCAUGAAUAGUAUCAAAACCUUCUGGAGUCCUGAGCUCAAGAAGGAAAGAGUCUUGAGGAAAGAAGAGGCAGCUCGGAUGUCUGUCCUCAAGGAGCAGAUGAGGGUUUCCCAUGAAGAAAAUCAGCUACUGGAUGCCAGAAGGACCAAGCACCUGCAGUUGACAAUCCAGGCCCUUCAGGAUGAGCUGCGCACCCAGAGAGACCUCAACCACCUUCUACAGCAGGAGAGCGGCAACCGGGGAGCUGAGCACUUCACCAUUGAGCUGACGGAGGAGAACUUCCGGCGGCUGCAAGCGGAGCAUGACAGGCAGGCGAAGGAGCUCUUCCUGCUGAGGAAGACCUUGGAGGAAAUGGAGCUGAGAAUCGAAACGCAGAAGCAGACCCUGAAUGCUCGGGACGAAUCGAUUAAAAAGCUCCUGGAGAUGUUGCAAAGUAAAGGGUUGCCGUCCAAAAGCCUCGAGGAUGACAAUGAACGGACGCGGCGGAUGGCAGAGGCUGAGUCUCAAGUCAGCCACUUGGAAGUGAUUUUAGACCAGAAAGAGAAGGAAAACAUACAUCUCAGAGAGGAAUUGCACCGAAGAAGCCAACUUCAGCAGGAGCCAGCCAAGACGAAGGCGCUCCAGACUGUCAUUGAAAUGAAGGACACAAAAAUUGCUUCAUUGGAGCGAAACAUAAGGGACCUGGAGGAUGAGAUCCAGAUGUUAAAAGCCAAUGGUGUGCUGAACACUGAGGACCGUGAAGAAGAGAUCAAACAAAUAGAGGUUUACAAAAGUCACUCCAAGUUCAUGAAAACCAAGAUUGAUCAGCUGAAGCAGGAACUAUCGAAGAAGGAGUCAGAACUUCUUGCCUUACAAACAAAGCUUGAAACCCUUAGCAAUCAAAAUUCAGAUUGCAAGCAACACAUCGAAGUGCUUAAAGAGUCGCUUACUGCCAAAGAACAGAGGGCUGCCAUACUUCAGACCGAGGUAGAUGCGCUGAGAUUACGACUAGAAGAGAAAGAAUCUUUUCUCAAUAAAAAAACAAAACAGCUGCAGGACCUCACAGAAGAGAAGGGGACACUGGCUGGAGAGAUUCGUGACAUGAAGGAUAUGUUAGAAGUGAAGGAACGAAAAAUCAACGUUCUUCAGAAAAAGAUUGAAAACUUGCAAGAACAACUUAGGGAUAAAGACAAGCAACUGACCAACCUGAAAGACAGAGUGAAGUCCUUGCAGACAGAUUCCAGUAAUACUGACACUGCCCUGGCGACGCUUGAGGAGGCUUUGUCAGAGAAGGAAAGAAUAAUUGAGCGUUUGAAAGAACAGCGGGAGAGGGAUGAUCGGGAAAGACUAGAAGAGAUAGAAUCCUUCCGAAAAGAGAACAAAGACCUGAAAGAGAAGGUCAAUGCUUUACAAGCUGAACUGACUGAAAAAGAGUCUAGUUUAAUUGACCUCAAGGAACAUGCAUCUUCAUUAGCCUCAGCAGGGCUGAAAAGGGACUCCAAAUUAAAAUCUCUAGAAAUAGCCAUUGAACAAAAGAAAGAAGAAUGUAGCAAAUUGGAAGCACAGUUAAAAAAGCAAGCUGAGCAGUUGUUCAAUCAGAUGUACAACCCAGCUCAUAAUAUUGAAGAUGACUCCAGGAUGAACCCCGAGUUUGCAGACCGAAUAAAACAGCUCGAUAAGGAGGCAUCUUACUACCGCGAUGAGUGUGGCAAGGCCCAAGCAGAAGUUGACCGGUUGCUGGAGAUCCUCAAGGAGGUGGAAAAUGAGAAGAAUGACAAGGACAAGAAGAUCGCGGAACUUGAGAGCUUGACUCUCAGGCAUAUGAAGGAUCAGAAUAAGAAGGUGGCCAACCUCAAGCACAAUCAACAGUUGGAAAAGAAGAAGAAUGCUCAGUUACUGGAAGAAGUCCGCAGGCGGGAAGACAGCAUGGCCGACAACUCACAGCACUUGCAGAUAGAGGAGCUGAUGAAUGCCCUGGAGAAGACCAGACAGGAACUGGACACCACCAAGGCACGCCUCGCUUCCACACAGCAGUCGCUGGCUGAAAAGGAAGCACACUUGGCCAACCUCCGAAUAGAAAGGAGGAAACAGCUAGAGGAGAUCCUGGAGAUGAAACAAGAAGCACUGCUUGCGGCUAUCAGUGAAAAAGAUGCAAACAUUGCCUUGCUGGAAUUGUCUGCCUCCAAAAAGAAAAAGACGCAGGAAGAAGUCAUGGCCCUCAAACGGGAAAAAGAUCGACUAGUGCACCAGUUAAAGCAGCAGGUUUAUAGACCUAGGAAACAGCCCCUGAGCUCGAAUAUACCAUGCACUUGUGAUGCUUGCUACAGCCCAGAUAUUACGGCCAAGUACCACGGGUCCAGCUACGAUGCAUACAUGAUCCAAAGGUCUCAGACCCAGAACAGAAUGAAGCUAAUAGCGGACAACUACGAUGAGGACCACCACCAUUACCACCACCACCACCACCACCACCACCGAUCUCCUGGGAGGUCGCAACAUUCCAAUCACAGGCCCUCUCCCGACCAGGAUGACGAGGAGGGCAUAUGGGCAUAGCCGGGCCUGUAAACCAAAGUUCCAGUUUUGUUUUGAGGGAUGACCCAGCUCUGUUGGAGGCACGGAGGCACAGUCCAAUCUCAUGCUGUACACUGAUCACCUGUCCAACCUUUGCCUAGAGUGGGAGCCCCCAGUUCCUUCAAGAGAUCCAACUUUACCUGUCUGUAAAGAAGAAGAGGAGGAGGGAGACAGCGGGAGGAUCCGGUGGCAGUGUAACGCCAGAGCAGCUAUCUGAAGGGCUGACUAAAAGGAAAAUGCAGCUCUGCAGCAAUAUUCUGAUAAUCUAUUGCAGUACGGCGUACAUCACUGUCCAUCACCACCUGGGAUGCUCAUCAGGACUGAAGAGGAGUCUCACUUUCAUUACUGAAUACGAUUCUGUUCGACUUGGUAUUUCCUUCGUCAUCUCAUGCCAUUUCUUAUGUUGGAAAGGAAGAAUGCGGCAAAAAGAGAAAAAUGAUACAUCCUCCAUUUUUUUGGGGGGGUCGGGAUUUGGGCACUUAAAAUUUGAUCAUCUCUUCUGAAUGUCAUUAUUUGAUAACAUUUUAUUUAUGUUACGUAAAUAUCAUCAUUGGAUCAGUUGGAACUCCAUGGAUUUAACUGUGGAUUCAGCUUCCAUUGGACAACUAGCUUCAUCUCCAGAUUUCCUGCUGGUUCAGUCUAAGUGGCCAUUCCUAAUGCAUUAGAUUAUCAAAAAGUAUGACUUCUGUGAGUGAGUGGUGUUGGCGGUGUUUGUAUACCAAGAUGCAUGGAGAGUUUGUCAAAGAAACUAAAACACCAAAAAUGGCGAGCCUUUACCCUCCUCUGUUUCUUUAAUCCGCUCUUGGAAGAACCACAUUUUGAUGGUGUAACCAGUAGUUACCUCUGGGCCAGGUUGGAAAUGAAAUCAAUUUUUUAAACCACUAAUACUUGCCAAGAAAUCGCCUUAUGAGAACGUGGUGUGUGUCUCUGACAAUGCAUGGUGCAUCUAAAUUGAUCAUUCAUAAUUUUAUCUGCCCUGUUUUCAUAUUGGAGAGUGGCAAAAGCCUGAGGCCCCUGCACAUUUCUGUUCCAUAUGUCCCCUGCAUCCCCACGGCUGGGAUGUGAGCAAGCCUCCGACUCUUACCAUUCCCAUACGUGCAGGUCUCCAUGAAGAUGCUGGGACUCAUACACUUUUUAAGAUCCACAUGCUGUGCAACAGUGUAAGCUGAGACGUGUAAAUGAAAGGUCAUUUCUCAAUUUUCUUUUAAAAUGUCUCCAACAUAGAUUCCAAAGCAUUUUCAGCAUCAAACAUGAAAACAUUGAUGAAUGAGGAAUAAUCACAAAAGCUGUGUAUCUGUAUAUAGCUCUACACAACACGUUUGUGGGUACAGUCAUUAUUUAAAGCACAUGCCAGGGGAAAAGACCAAAUUUUGAGGUCUUGUACAUACAGUGACAUGGUACUAAGGAGAAUUAAACUCCUACUGCUUCCUCUGAAGAUUAAAAAUAAUAAUAAUAAAGUGUUAUAAUGUCAUAAAACUCAUGACCAAGUCUGGCAAACAUGUGCAACUCUUGUAUUGAUCCAUUUUCCUGUCAGUGGAAGAAACCCUUCCACGUGUAUGCAAGUGGGAGAUGAAAAUCUGCAUUUUUAAAGGACAAACAGUGAAUUUAAGCAUGAGUGGCCUUAAUAAAUAUAGUUGUCUUUCUUUGCUGCUGUGGAAAGGAUUCUAAACAGAUAUUCCUGAAGUCUUGCAUUGAAUUCAGUCAUUAUUAUUGCUUUUUAAAAUGUUGGUGCAAUUAACUCUGGACCUCUCCCGUGAGCCAUAGCGAUAUUUAAAAGACAGACAUCUUAUUUUUCAGGAAAGACAAAGCUGUGUAUGAGUUGCACUGUUUAUCCUUGGUGCAUUACGAUAAUAUAGUUCAAGCAGGUCUCUUGCUUCUGGCUUUGUUCUUGUCGUAAGUAUAGCAAGCUAUGUAAAGCUUCUGUGUUGCGUAGACCAUCCAAAUACAUUUGUGUUUAAAAGUUUGUCCUUUAAUUAUCAAAGGGGUGUAGGUCUUGACUGGAAAAAUGAGCAGAGUUCUUUGCAAGCAUAUUGAGCACAUUUUUGACACAAUGUCACACUGAAAACCCAGGCCACAAAGGUGCCCCCAUGACAGUUUGGGUGUCCUCAAACAGGCAGCCCUUACUGCCUCCUACAGCCAAGUCCUGACCCGAACUCUGCAACUCGAUACUUGAAGUAGGAAGUAGGAAAUCCACUAGGGAAAAUAGGGUCCUCAAAACAGAAAAAAGUGACCAACUGUGUAUAGUUAGCUAUUUCUAAGUAUGUGCCAAUUUUGUCACUGCUAUUGUUUGGGGGAUCAUUUUUUUUGCCCCACUUUUGUUGGUUAGAAAUAUUGUUGAUCUUACCUUUAUGGGGGCAUAUCAUUUCGUCCCUGAAAAAUUAAAUUCUAACAUAGUACCUUUUUCCAUUUCAUGUAAUAUUCUCUGAUGUUUGGGGGUUACGUAAAAUUCCCUUUUCAUCUAUUAAAAAUAGUCUCUGGGUUUACAACAAACACUGUGAUGUUGGGACGAUAUUUCCUUCGCUCAAACUUGAGCAGAUUCCCCUUAAAUCAUAAUGAAGUUGAGAAAAAAAAAAGACGUUGAGGCUAACAUUUGGGAGAAGUUAGUGUUCUUGCUUAGUGCAAAAGCAGGCUUAUACUUUAUACCCGACUUGAUUUCGAUGUACAGUCUCGAUUUUGUAUUUAAUGAUUUUUUGUGUAUCCAGUAUGCACGUUAACAGCGUGUCAACUUUCAUUUGAAAGUGGGUUUCAAUUUACUUGUUAAACAGUGUUUAUGACAAGACCUCAAAUGUGUUGACAUAAGCUCUAUCUGAGAUGUUUUUGUGUCGAGUGGCGUUUGAAUGCUGCCAGGGGUCAGUGUAUCUAAUUCCCAGAGACCCUCGUUUGAUAGUGCUUCUUGUAAUAUUUCUUCAAGUGAGUGGCAUGUGGGUUGUGAUAUUGACCAUGUGAUUAUGGACUUCGAUAUGAAAAAAAACAAAAAACUAAGGAACCCUCAGAAACUACCAGUGGGCAUGUAUUAGCCAGUCAUUGUAACCUCGUGUCUAGUAGAAGUACGAUGUACAAGGUAUGUACAGUUCAUAAAUUUGUUAUCCUGUGUAUGAGAAGUUCUUUGUGCUGGUCACCUUAUUUAUAUUCAUCAAAUAAACUCUGUUUCUUUCUGAA